rnacentral:tRNA from 1 species
UCCCUGAUGGUCCAGUGGUUAAGACUCUGUGCUUUCAAUGCAGGGGGCAUGGGUUCCAUCCCUGGUCAGGGAA